GUGUGGGUAAAAGUGAACCAAAAAAUACACAAUAAACAAAUAUCAUAAAGGGCUCUCAUUUUGUUCAAACUUCCAUUAAGUACAAUACAUGAUUCCACAAAGACACAUUUUUCUUUAAGGAUGUUUGCUCCUCUGUUUCCGAAUAAUAUUUUUUUUUCAAAAAAUUGUCAUAAUUGAUAGCAUAUAAAUAAAGGAAUUUGAAAAAAAGGG
rnacentral:lncRNA from 1 species